GGGUGUGUAGUCCCGUACGGCGCGGGGAUGGUCUGUAAAACCAUUGCUUUUUUAGCCCAGCUGGUUCGACUCCAGUCACACCCA
rnacentral:tRNA from 1 species